UUCUGUCCCUAUAGGAUAAUUUACAUUUUCUAGAAUUUUAGAUAAAUAGAAUCAUACAGUAUGUCCUCUUUUUUGGUCUUGCUACUUUACUCAGCAUAAUUAAUUUGAGAUUCAUAUACGUUGUUGUUGACUCUAGAGUUCAUCUAUUUUGACAUAAACCAAACUUUGUUUAAUUAUCUGUUGAUUGACAUUUGAGUUGUUUCCAGUUUUGGGUUGUUACAAAUAAAGCUUCUAUGAAGACUCUAUAUAUGUGGGUUUUUACAUAGAUGCAUAUGUACAUAAAUGUCUUUAUGUAGACAUAAGCUUCCUUUUCUCUUGGAUAAAUGAAUAGAGGUGAAACAGCUGGAUCAUAUACAGUAGAUGUAUGUUUAACUUUUUAACUGCCAAAUUGUCUCCUGAGUAUUUUACAUUCUCAACAGAAGUGUAUGAGAGUUCCAGUUCCUCUAUAUCUUCACCAACUCUUGAUGUGCUCAGUCUUUUUCUUCAAUUUUUUUAAAUUGAGAUAUAAUUGACAUUUAACAUUGUAUUAGUUUUAGGUAUACAGUGCGCUCAGUCUUUUUCAUUUCGGCUGUCCUCGUAACUGUGAAACAGUGUUUCAUUUGGGUUUUAAUUUGCAUUUCCCUAAUGACUAAUGACGUUGACCAUCUUUUUGUGUGCUUAUUCGUCAUUCAUAUAUCCUCUUUGACAAAGUGUCUGUUCAAAUCUUUUGCCCAUUUUAAAACUGGGUUGUUUCUUUCCUUAUCAUUGGGAUGUGAAGGGGUUUUUGUAUAUUCUGGAUAGUAGUCCUGCAAUACUUCCAGCAGCUAGAGGAAUGGACCCCCAUAAGUCCAUCCACAUGCCUCUUCUCUAGACCUGCUUGUUCCCAAUUUUCCAAUCUUUCUCCUUCCAAACCCCUGAUGAAGCAGCCACACCAUUCAUCACUAACAUGAGUCCUGCAUAUUUCUAUUUCGGGCUACUUUUCUUUCCACACAGAGUAGAGGACCAGGUGUACCACCAAAGCUCUUCCCACUGGGAGAAUUUCCCUUCACUAUUGUCUUCUGAGGCCAUCUUUGAAUGGGGCUAUAGUGUAGCAGUCCAUUGCUGGCAUCGUCACGUGCCAAGCUGACCCAUCUGUGUGCUAAGCACAGGUUUUUUUCUUUUCUACGAACUGAUCACAGGAGAACCUCCCUCUCCCCACUUCCCCUCCUCCAAAACAACCAUACGUGUAGCUGAGGGAGAGGCAACGUGCCAUAGUGGUGGGUGACACAAGAGUUUGAGCCACCUACUCAUGCAGCUUACUUGUCCCCUGGCCCUGAUCAAGAUCAAUCCUAGAUGUAUCACUUCCAUCUUACCAUGGACUUCUGCUGGGCUCACAUAACCUUAUGACUUAGUGGAUCUGACAGAACCUUGUGAUGAAUAGUUCUGGCUGCAGGGUCACUGGAUGUCCCAAGAUCAGGUGCUCUUUCUCUACCAGGGCCCACUAACACCUCAGGAAUUAUUUUUCGAAUGGUCUCUGCUGCAGGUGGCAUAAGAUUGUCCCAGAACUCUGUAGUCUACAUGGUUAUUCUCUUACUAGAGCUUGCUGUAAACUUCACAAAAUGUCUUUUCCCGCCACAGAUACUUGCAGAUACCUGGCAUAAGUCUGCCAGGCAGUGUGGCCUAAGUGGCAGGGCUGUUGUGCCAUAGCCUGAGGCUUCUUCAGAGUUUUUUCCUGCUCUGAACCCCACUCAAAACUGGCAGCCUUCCAUGUCACUCAGCGAAUGGUUCAGGGCAGUAUUUUUCCUAGUGUUGAAUGUGCUGACUCUAGAACCCAAAAAACUCACUAGCAUUAUGUUUCUUUGUAGUGGUAGGAUGCCUGGCAUGUCCCAGACCACUAGACACUGACCUGGAGAACCUCUGAAUCUUCUUAGAACUUACCUUUUACCCUCUAGAGCAUGUGUCUUACCAAGGCCUCCCACAUUCUUCCCGCUUCUUAAUCAUCUGUUCUGAUUAACCUGAUGUAAUGGUUAUCUGCUGCUCUGUUAGAAAUUACCCCAAAACAUGACAGCUUAAAACAGUAAAUGUUUAUUAUCUCAUAUUUUCAGGGGGUUAGGAGUUCAGGAGUGGCGUAGCUGGGUGAUUCUGGCUCAAGGUCUCCCAUGAGGUUUUAGGCAAGAUGCUGUCCAGGGUUGCAGUCAUCCAAAGGCUCGACUGAAGCUAGAGGAUCUGCUUCCAAGAUGGCUCACUUUAGUGGCUUUCGGCAGGAGGCCUCACUUCCUUCCUACAUGAAUCUCUCGGUAGAGUUACUUCAUCGUCCUUAGCACAUGGUACCUCACUUCCCUUAUAGCAAGUGAUCCAAGAGAGAGCAAGGAAUGAAACUGGAAUGUCUUGGAAGUCAUACCUCAUCACUUCGGCAAUCUUCUAUUUGUUAGAAGUAAGUCACUAAGUCCAGCCCACAUUCAAGGGGAUAGGAAUUAAGCUCCACCUCUUGAAGAAAUAUAAAAAGGAAUUUGUGGGCAUACUUGAAAACACCACACAUGACAUCAUGAACAUAGUGAAUCAUUGUGGUGAUAAGCAGAAUGUCCAGGCAGUCCAGGUUCCUUUGGGUUAUAUUAUGACAGAAGGCAAAAGAAUUAACUCUGGUCAAGACUGUAAAUAUGUGUUUCGUUCACACAUGUCUGUUCCCUUUCCUUGGUGGGAAUGGAAAUGAAUGCAUUUGCUAAUCAACAUAAGCAAGUAUGAAUUCAAGUGUGAAGCAUUCGCUCUGGAGAAAAUUAGGGAACGGUUUCCACAGAAGGAUCAGAGAUGACCAUUGGCACCUCACGUGUCCCGUGGAACAGUAUAUGUGUUGGCAGUGAGCUGAGAGGUAGAAGGUAGACCACGAGGGACACUGCUCCAAGGUAUUUUUGGCACACAUCAGGUUCCUGCUCAGACUUAUCAGGCCCUUGUUUGAGACCCUGGAGCCCAUGACUCAGACUGAUUUGAGGCGAAUGGGAAGUCAGCUCCUAUUAGAAGCUGCCUCUGAAGAUGAGGUGAUGGUAGUGGUGGAAGGUUGGUGUUUUUCCAUCUGGUCUCAAUUUUGAAAAGGAACCAGGGGGUUAGGAGGUGAUCAGGCCAAGAGGCCAACCCUCCUGCUAAACCAAGCGGCCUGCCAUUUUUCUGUGACCUGCUACAGAGUUCUUAGGUUUGUUGGCAUAUUUUAAAAAGGACAUUGAGCCACCCAGGCAUCAACUUGUCAUUGAACUAAGCAGCAGCACUUAGUUAUAUUCAGAAUUAGAAUUCUGUCUUCUAUCCGAGAAACUAAUGGGAAGGACUUAGGAGAGUGGCUAUAAUGAGUGUGAUUUGGAGGCUAGUAUCAAGGAGAGAUAAUAUCAUCUUUGAUCUCCAUAUUUAAGGCUGGUGUUAUCUAUUUCUGUAGCAAAAACAUCCUGACCAGAUGAGUGCAUGGGGACCAUAGUUGUAGAUAUAGCCCUGCUUCCUUUAGCCAAGAUCACGAGAAAAUGGGUUCUUCAGAUAAAUGAAUUUCCAGAUUUCUGGAGCUUCCUCUAUUAAGUAACACAUGUUAAAUAAAAAAAUUAAUUGUAGAAGAUAAAAGGACCUCUGUGGAAUAUGGCUGAAGGUGGAGGGGCAGGUAAGUGGAAUCUUUUUACUUCUCUCUCUAUGCUCUUCUAUAAAAAAUGAAUUUUUAAAUAACUAAUAUGUAUUAUUUUUAAAAAUUUACUUAAAACUAUUUCUAUACAAAUAAAUGAUUUACAUACUUCUGACCUCUCAAACAGAACCAAAUUGAGCUUUCUUUUAAUGAUUCAUUAUCAUCAUUAUAAAACUCAAUUCUCUGUACCUCAAAGCAAUCAUACCCUCAAAUAGUCCUGGAAUGUAUUGAAUAGUUUAUUCCUACACUAAAUGUCCUCAGACUUUUAACUUACCUGUCACAAAUUUUCUCUGCCUGCUUUGCCAUGAGAUAGUCAGCUGCCAUUUCACACUGACAGAAUUCUGCCUAUCUUUAGCAGCCUCUCUUUUGAAUUUAUUGUUUUAACUUGAUGCUACUAAUUAGCUGACUGGUUGGUAAGUCACCUAAAGAAAUUUCUUAAUAGUCUAUGUAAAAUAAAAUUAAAUAGGCAUAGAGUGAAUGCUCAAGAGUCACUCCUAAAAGCAGUGUACAAAAAAUAAAGCUUUAGUGCAUUUAUUUGGAGCUUUCAGUCUUAUCCUUUCUAUCUGGAUCCCAGCUAUGUUUCAGAUAUAGAUGUCACUGGUUAAAAGAGUUAUAUAUAAGUGAAAUGAUGCUCUGCUGUCAUUUAAUAAAAGGAGUUGCAUCAUUUCUUCCUUCCCUCAUGAAAUUGCUCAAUGGCGGCCCAGGCAGGUGCACGUGAGACUGAAUUGGAGUUAGUCUCAUUCGUCAGGCUAAUUGAAAUGAUAGCCCUGGACAUGUUGCCAGGUCUAGAAUAAUAUUUUAAAUUAGAAACAACUGCCAGCAUUUGGAUAACCAAGGAUUCAUUUACAGUAAAUGUUCCCAGAUGUGGUAAGUAUAUAUUUGGUCUUUGUCUCUGGUUGCUGACACAGACCUUCUAAAACGUUUAGGAUUUCCUGGUAGGGGUGAUAGAAACAUCUUUUGUUAUUCAUAACAAGCCCCUUUCAACUAUACCUGAGUUGUAUAUGUCAAUGAGAUCACUCUUGGUGGACACCUAGAUAGCUUCAGGAUGAGGGCUGGCUACCAGAGCAACCAGCCUUGAGAUUAGAGAGUUACAACUUUCAGCCCCACCCCACUGGAGAUUGAGUCAAUCACCAAUGAUUAAGGAUUUAAUCAAUCAUGUCUAUGUAAUGAAACCUUCAUAAAAACCCCUAAACAAUGAAGCUCAGAGAGCUUCCUGGUUGGUGAACAGAUCAGUGUUGGGAGGCUUAUAUGCCUAGAGAGAGCAUGGAAGCUCUGUGCCCCUUCACCCCACCCACCCUACAUCUUGCCCAAUGCAUCUCUUCCUUUUGGCUCUUUCUGAGUUAUGUCCUCUGUAAUAAAUUGGUGAUAGCAAAUAAACUGUUUCUAACAAAUUAUGGAACCUGAGGAAGGGGUCAUGGGAACACCCAAUUUAUAGCCUUUUGGUUAGAAGUAGGGGUGGCUUUGGACUUGUGUUGACAUCUGAAGUGGGGGCAGUCUUGUAGGAAUGAGCCCUUAACCUGUGGGGUCCACGCUAACCCCAGCAGUCAGUGCCAGAAUUGAAUUGUAGGACACUCAGUUGGUGUCUGGAGAGCUGGAAAAUUGGUUGGCGUGAAGAAAAAGCCCACACAUUUGGUGUCAGAAGUGUUGUGAGUAAAAACCAGCUCACCAGGCUCUUAUGAUCUCAACAUCCUUGAAUAUGUAGCAGGUUUGCCAAAUCCCUAUGAAAAAAACAUACAUGUAGGCUCUAGUCUACCGGGUAGAUCAGACAAGACUCAGCUGACUCACAGAUACAUGGAAAUAGAUCAAACAAGUAGCAUGUGUUUAAAAGGAACACUUUAGUUAGACAGGGAGUGGGGAUUUUUUGACAAUCGUUCAGAAUGUGAGUCAGAGUGUAGGUUUGCGUGGGUGAGUGUGUGGGUGGAUACAUCUGUGGGUGUCAGAAAGAGACAGCCAGAGAUAGAUGGCUGCAGUUCCGCAGCUAGUAAAAUGACUAUAAUAGCAAAAUAAAUGUAAAGGCAUAGAGCUUCAUGGAGCCCUUUAAAAUAGUUUUAGACAAACAAUGUCUACAGACAGGCUUAUUUAAAAUACCAAUUGCUUCCCACAAAGGGUUUAAAUUACCCCUCCUUACACAACACCAGGCAAUUUUCAUUUACCACUUACUUGAAAUUUGGUAAUUAUCACAAAUGAAACCCUAUCUUACAUUGCUGGUAGUCAAAACUUUUUAAAAAUGGGAAAAUUGAGAUAAAUUGGUUGCAUUUGUUAACUAGAAUAUGACCUUCAGCUGUUCUUAGACUAAGACAUGACAGGAAAUAACUUGCCAAGGAAAGAGGAGCUGAAAUGGGUAAUAGGAUAAGAAGGUUUUUUUCCUACAGCUAUAAUAAAAUGAUUUCUGAUAUACUUACAUACAUGCAGUAAUGGGCAACACAAAAAUGUAAAAAGAUAGGGAAUUGGCGAUAUAACUGCUUGCCUGGUUUCAUCUGGGAGAGAAAUUAUGCUGGCAACGUGGAGUCUUUGCCUAGAGAUUCCAUUAACAAGAAAUUCACAGAUUCUCACUGUUUUUGGCAAUUCCAUGCUUGCAUCCCUGGACCCUGGCAAGUGUGAAUGUAUGGGCAAGUCCAGAGCCCACCAAGCUACUCGGAAUAUCACUUGAAAUUAAAGCAAAUAAUCCCAAAAUGAAAGAGGUGAUGGAUCAAUAUGUACAGGUUAGAUAGAGUUAUUCAAUAUGCAACUCGCAUGUCUGAGCCUCUAUGAUGUGCCUCCCCACUGUGAUUGCUUCUAGAAUUGCAACCGUGCAUCUGCCCUCAAGGAACUCAGCCCCUGAAUUAAGCGGGUAAGGAAGCUGAUAAGCACUGUUUGUGCUAGGUGCUCUUACAUAUGCAUCAAUGGAGGAAACAGUUAUUAAUUCUCCAUUCACCAAUACCGAUAUUUUUUCCAAAAUAGAAAUACCUUUUUCUCAUUGUAAAAAUAAUAUAUGCUCAUUAGAGAAAAUUCAGAUACAAUAGAAAAGUAUCAUUUGUUGAUUUAAGGAGAAUUCAUUUAAAGCCAUUACACAGUAAAGAAGCCCAGAGUCUGUGCUUUAUUUCGUAUUUCCUCUUUGUAAACUAACUUCUCCACUCCUUGCCAUACGUCACUUUUCAUUAUUAACUGGUGGAGAACAAGUGAUACAAUAAACCUGCCUAGCAGGGCCAGAGACCCAACCCACUCUCUGUCGUUACUACCUUUUAUGUCUGUACACCAUAAUCGGUUCUUACACACUUAUGCUUACAUACUGUAAGUGAUGUAAGCAUAAUAUAAAUUUAUUUCAUAAGCUACUUUGGGCCUGGGAAAAUCCAGAACAACUACAUCUGCCUCUUAUUUGCUUUAGUAAGAACGCUCCUGCACUCACAAGAAGGGAGCUCUUACCCCUCUAUUCUAAAUCCUGAUUUUUUAUGUCACCUUUUCCUUCAUAGCUAGGAAGUCAAACCCCAUGUAACCAGUCUGAGGAUGAUUAAUGGUGGCUUUGAGCCUUCACGAGGUUUGGAGCUGUUGAUGCGGAGGAUGAACAAGAUACAGAGAAUGUGUGAGCCUUGUGUUAGUCAUGACAAGAUAGGCUUAUGUGACAGUUACCCAAAUAAUCUGAUAUCCCAGUGGUUUAAUAUAAGAAAGGUUUAAUUCUUGUUCAUGUUUCAUAUCUGUUAUAGAUGGGGUGGCAGUCUUACUCAAGGACCAGGAUGAUGGAGGCUCUGCCAUCUCGUGGCUGCACCAGCUCCUUGGUCACCGAGUAGGGAAAGAGAUGCAAAAUCUCAGAGGGUCUUUUCACCACCUCUGCCCGGAAGAACACUUGUGGCUUCUGCUCACAUUUCAUUGGCCACAGCUAAUCACGUGGUCUUCCUAACUUCAAAGGAGCUGAGAAAUUUGGGGAACAGAUGUAAUGAUUGGUUAGAACUCUCUCUCCCUUAAACCUAAGUCUGAAUUUUUGACCACAAGCUGACAUAAUCCAAAAUCAAAUAAAUGAUAUUAAGUUAUUUACUUAUGUCAAUUUUCUACUCCUUUGGCAUGAAUAUUCGAGUGUGAGAUGUGUAUAGAGAAGUAUAUACCUUAUACAUAAACACAGUUUUCUAUAUAUAAGGCAAUUACUGUAUACAAAAUAGUUUAUUAUUUUCCACACCAGGUCUUCAAGAAGGAGGAAGAUGAUUGUGAAAGAGAAAAUAAUACCACACCCUCAUUUUUUACCUCUAAGUCCAAUUUGGGUUGACUAAAAGGAGCAACGUGCCUAGAUUUGUAAGGGUAGACUAACUCAUGUAACAAUUAGUUCUCUCUGCUCUUUGGAAUUCUGGGCAAUUUUUUCUUCCGUUUAUCUGAAUUUUGUAGUUUUUCUAUAGUCUCAGUGGUUUAAGAAAAUAGAAUUUGUUAAUUGUGUAUGUAACAGUUCAGUGUGGGUAUUUGAUGCGUGGUCUCCCAGGAGGCGAUUCAGGGACCUGGGCUCCUCCUUCCUGAGACUCUGCCAUCUUCCAGGGUUUCAGAGUCCUCUGCAGGUUCCUACGCAUCAGGCUGACAGACAAGCGAAGAGAAGUGUGGGAAAAUCAGGGGCCAGGCUUGGAAACAGCAUGUAUCAUUUCCACCACAUUCUGUUGGCCAGAACUCACGAUCACAUAUAACCUCAAGGGAGCUGGGAAAUGUACUCCAGUUGUGUGCACGGGAGGAAAGGAAGUAGGUUUGUGACUGUCUCUACCACAACGGCCGUGGAUGAUCAAAAUAAGUAAAUAAAUAAAAGAGAAGAAAAGGAAAGAAUCUGACUAGAGUUGCAUGUAUCUGGGGAAAGGAACGUUAUUUCUAUUGCCUUGUUCUUAUUUCCUUCAUUUCUACUUAUAUGUUGCUUCUCUGUAAUUUCUCCA